GGAGCGAAUCNCAAAACUACGGUCUCAGUUCAGAUUGCAGGCUGCAACUCGCCUGCAUGAAGUUGGAAUUGCUAGUAAUCGCGAAUCAGAAUGUCGCGGUGAAUACGUUCCCGGGUCUUGUACACACCGCCCGUCACACCACGAGAGUUUACAACACCCGAAGUCAGUGGCCUAACCGCAAGGAGGGAGCUGCCUAAGGUGGGGUAGAUGAUUGGGGUGAAGUCGUAACAAGGUACC
rnacentral:rRNA from 1 species